rnacentral:rRNA from 1 species
GCCCUACGGGAGGCAGCAGUGGGGAAUAUUGCGCAAUGGGGGCAACCCUGACGCAGCAACGCCGCGUGAUUGAAGAAGGCCUUCGGGUUGUAAAGAUCUUUGAUCUGGGACGAAUUUUGACGGUACCCGAAGAAUAAGCUCCGGCUAACUACGUGCCAGCUGCCGCGGUAAUACGUAGGGAGCAAGCGUUAUCCGGAUUUAUUGGGUUUAAAUGGUGCGUAGGCGGGCUUUUAAGUCAGCGGUAAAAAUUCGGGGCUCAACCCCGUCCGGCCGUUGAAACU